rfam:Thermosediminibacter oceani DSM 16646, complete genome.
UCAAGCCUUCGGGGCAGGGUGAAAUUCCCGACCGGCGGUGAGCCUUUAUGGCGAGCCCGCGAGCCCUUUAAAGGGGUUGACCCGGUGAAAAUCCGGGGCCGACGGUUAAAGUCCGGAUGGGAGAAGGCGAUA